rnacentral:rRNA from 1 species
UACAGAGGUCUCAAGCGUUGUUCGGAUUCAUUGGGCGUAAAGGGUGCGUAGGUGGCAGGGUAAGUCGGAUGUGAAAGCCCGGGGCUCAACCUCGGAACUGCAUUCGAUACUGCUUUGCUGGAGUACUGGAGAGGAGAUUGGAAUUUACGGUGUAGCAGUGAAAUGCGUAGAUAUCGUAAGGAAGACCAGUGGCGAAGGCGGAUCUCUGGACAGUUACUGACACUGAGGCACGAAGGCCAGGGGAGCAAACGGG